rnacentral:rRNA from 1 species
CAGAGCCGCGGUAAUACGAAGGGUGCAAGCGUUACUCGGAAUUACUGGGCGUAAAGCGCACGCAGGCGGUCUGACAAGUCAGAUGUGAAAUCCCCGGGCUCAACCUGGGAACUGCAUUUGUGACUGGCAGGCUAGAGUAUGGCAGAGGGGGGUGGAAUUCCGCGUGUAGCAGUGAAAUGCGUAGAUAUGCGGAGGAACACCGAUGGCGAAGGCAGCCCCCUGGGCCAAUACUGACGCUCAUGCACGAGAGCGUGGGGAGCAAACAGGAUUAGAUACCCGAGUAGUCCCUGUCUCUUAUACA